GAAAUGCGAUAAGUAAUGUGAAUUGCAGAAUUCAGUGAAUCAUCGAAUCUUUGAACGCACAUUGCGCCCCCUGGUAUUCCGGGGGGCAUGCCUGUUCGAGCGUCAUUUCACCACUCAAGCCUCGCUUGGUAUUGGGCAACGCGGUCCGCCGCGUGCCUUAAAUCGACCGGCUGGGUCUUCUGUCCCCUAAGCGUUGUGGAAACUAUUCGCUAAAGGAGGUUCGGGAGGCUACGCCGUAAAACAACCCCAUUUCUAAGGUUGACCUCGGAUCAGGUAGGGAUACCCGCUGAACUUAAGC
rnacentral:misc_RNA from 1 species